AGAACCACCGCCAGGUACACAAGUCACUGGACAAGGUGGGAAGGCAUCUUACUCAAUCAAUGGACCUUAUUCUAAAGCGGGAAGGGCACUGAGAGUAAGUAAACUGAAAAAGGUUGCUACUUGCCAGAGUCGUAAGGGAUGAAAUAUGUUUUCUCAGUCGCUGCUCAGGGGUUUGUGGCUGAGGCCCCAAAAACAAAAGACAGACUAAAAAGAGAAAAGCAUAUGAAUUCAUUUAAGUUAAAAUUUAGGCCAGGCGCAGUAGCUGACACCUAUAAUCCCAGCACUUUGAGAGGCCAAGGUGGGAGGGUCGCUUGAGCCCAGGAGUUCAAGACCAACUUGGGCAUCACAGGGAGACUCCACCUCUACAAAAAAUAAAAUAUAGCCAGCCCUGGUGGUGCGUGCCUGUGGUCCAAGCUAUAUGCGAGGCUGAGGCAGGAGGAUGGUUUGAGCCCAGGAGUCGGGAGGUCAAGGCUGCAGUGAACUGUGUUUGUGCCACUGCACUCCAAGCCUGGGUGGCAGAGCAAGACCUGUCUCCAAACAAAUUUUUUAAAAAAGUUUUACCUGACAUAGGAGCCUUUGGCAAUGUCCCAGAGGAACAGGGAAACCUGUGUGUUUUCAUUCUUAGGUUUGAUGAAGAGAGUACAGUGCUGUGAAAGUAUGAUUGGACAAGGGGCUGUGAUCUAAUGGCAAUAAGCCGGAGGGAACUUAGCAAGGCUUGUUUGUUCAGAUUCUUCACGGCAUUUCUGUGUCUUCUGCUCCUUUCCUCGAGGUAUAGGGAGGGUAUCUCUCAAAUGAGGAGUCUACGACCUGCUUCAGGGGAAGGCCAACAACUUCUUGGAUUUUAUGACCUGCUUCAGGGGAGAAGGACAAGGGAAGUACAGCGCCUACAACAAUGCAAAGGCUAGAAGGAAUGAAGGCAGGGACAUGGAAUGGAGAAUUUCCAUUUCACGGAUCCACAUAAACUGAAAAGGAACAAGAGUCGGUGAGACCAAAGAGCACUGAAGGCCAUGAACCACCACCAUUCUCAACCCCUGGGCCAGGCAAGAAAAGCCACGGUUCCUGGAAGGGAUGACGACAGGCUUACUGAAUUAUUUUCAUCCAUGCCCUUUUAAAAUAUGGUUGGUAGAAAUUUGCCAUUUGAGACUAGAAUCCCAUUCGGAAUCAUGUAAGUCUCUUUUGACUCCACGAGGACAUCUUUCACCCAGUUUUGGGAAAUCUGAGGAAUGGAUUCUUCUACAGACUGAUAAAAUAUCACAAGGUC
rnacentral:lncRNA from 1 species